UACGUAGGGGGCGAGCGUUGUCCGGAUUUAUUGGGCGUAAAGAGCGUGUAGGCGGUUCGGUAAGUCUGUCGUGAAAUCCUGAGGCUCAACCUUGGACGUGCGAUGGAUACUGCCGGACUAGAGUCCGGAAGAGGCGAGUGGAAUUCCCGGUGUAGCGGUGAAAUGCGCAGAUAUCGGGAGGAACACCAAUGGCGAAGGCAGCUCGCUGGGACGGUACUGACGCUGAGACGCGAAAGCGUGGGGAGCAAACAGG
rnacentral:rRNA from 1 species